rnacentral:rRNA from 1 species
AUACGGAGGAUCCGAGCGUUAUCCGGAUUUAUUGGGUUUAAAAGGUGCGCAGGCGGCCAUUUAAGUCAGCGGUUAAAUCGUGGGGCUCAACCCCAUUCUGCCGUUGAUACUGGGUGGCUUGAUUGCGGUCGAGGUUGGCGGAAUUCGUUGUGUAGCGGUGAAAUGCAUAGAUAUGACGAAGAACACCGAUUGCGUAGGCAGCUGACCAGACCGCAAAUGACGCUCAUGCACGAAAGUGCGGGGAUCGAACAGGAUUAGAUACCCUGGUAGUCCGCACAGUAAACGAUGAAUACUUGUUUUCGGCGAUAUAAUGUCGGAGGCAAAGCGAAAGCGAUAAGUAUUCCACCUGGGGAGUACGCCGGCAACGGUGAAACUUAAAGGAAUUGACGGGG